AUCAACGCUGGCGGCGCGCUUAACACAUGCAAGUCGCACGAGAAAGUGGAGCAAUCCAUGAGUAAAGUGGCGUACGGGUGAGUAACACGUGGGUAAUCCACCUCUUAGUGGGGAAUAACCUGGGGAAACCCGGGCUAAUACCGCAUAAGCUCGAGAGAGGAAAGCAGCAAUGCGCUGAGAGAGGAGCCCGCGGCCGAUUAGCUAGUUGGCAGGGUAAAAGCCUACCAAGGCAGAGAUCGGUAGCCGGCCUGAGAGGGCACACGGCCACACUGGCACUGAAACACGGGCCAGACUCCUACGGGAGGCAGCAGUGGGGAAUCUUGCACAAUGGGGGAAACCCUGAUGCAGCGACGCCGCGUGAGCGAUGAAGCCCUUCGGGGUGUAAAGCUCUUUCGGCAGGGAAGAUGAUGACGGUACGGUGAAGAAGCAGCUGCGGCUAACUUACGUGCCAGCAGCCGCGGUAAUACGUAGGGUGCAGGAGCGUUGUUCGGAGUUAUUGGGCGUAAAGGGCGCUGUAGGCGGUUCUGUAAGUCAGCUGUGAAAUCUCCUGGCUCAACUGGGAGGCUUGCGGCGAAUACUGCCGGGACUAGAGUGUGGGAGAGGUGCGUGGAAUUCCUGGUGUAGCGGUGAAAUGCGUAGAUAUCAGGGAGGAACACCGGUGGCUGUAGACGGCUCCUGGACCACUAACUGACGCUGAGGACACGAAAGCGUGGGUAGCAAACAGGAUUAGAUACCCUGGUAGUCCUAGCCCUAAACGAUGAAUCUUGGUGUAGUGGGUACCCAUCCGGAUCCUGUGCCGGAGCUAACGCGUUAAUCAUGCCGCCUGGGGAGUACGGUCGCAAGGCUGAAACUCAAAGGAAUUGACGGGGGCCCGCACAAGCGGUGGAGCAUGUGGUUCAAUUCGACGCAACGCGAAGAACCUUACCUGGGCUCGAAGCGGCAGUGGAAUCGCGGUGGAAACAUCGCUACCCCGCAAGGGGUCUCUUCGGAGGUGCUGCAUGGCUGUCGUCAGCUCGUGUCGUGAGAUGUUGGGUUAAGUCCCGCAACGAGCGCAACCCUUAGUCGUUAGUUGCCAUCAUUCAGCUGGGCACUCGAGCGAGACCGCCAGCGGAUAAGCUGGAGGAAGGUGGGGAUGACGUCAAGUCCUCAUGGCCUUUAUGUCCAGGGCUACACACGUGCUACAAUGGUCAGUACAAACCGUCCGCAAACCCGCGAGGGGGAGCUAAUCGGAAAAAGCCGGCCUCAGUUCGGAUUGGAGGCUGCAACUCGCCUGCCAUGAAGCUGGAAUCGCUAGUAAUCGGCAGAUCAGAACGCUGCCGUGAAUACGUUCCCGGGCCUUGUACACACCGCCCGUCACAUCACGAAAGUGGAUUGAUACUAGAAGUCGUUGCAGGCUGACCCGCAAGGGGACUGAGCGGCCCAAGGUAUGACUCAUGAUUGGGGUG
rnacentral:rRNA from 1 species